rnacentral:lncRNA from 1 species
GUGGAGAGGGGACAAAACUACUUCCAUUCUGAUGCCAAGAAGUAUUACCAUAGCCGAACUUUUGUUAAGGUUGAAGGAGAAACUUGGUAUUGUUGAUCCUCGCGCUCAAAUUGAAUUGAAGUUCAAAGUCCCUAACUUGAAUAUACCUCUGCCCGAAAUACGCGACAAUGAAGACUUAAAUUGGUACAUAUCAGUGCAUAAGGAAACUGCUAUCUGCGUUACUGUUUUGGAAUCCGAUCUCCCAAGUGUUGACAUGGCAAGGGAUGCAAAUUUCCAAGAUCCUUAAUUUGUCGCAGUAGAUGUUCUGCAAAACGUUGAACAUGAUUUGGUGAAUCGAAUGCAUAGUCUCUCUAACAAUAAUGCACCUGAAACACAUGAGUAUGAUA